rnacentral:tRNA from 1 species
CGGGAGUUAGCUCAGCUUGGUAGAGCACUUGGUUUGGGACCAAGGGGCCGCAGGUUCAAAUCCUGUACUCCCGA